UGUAUAAAGCUUCUGUUCUCUCUAAUCUGAGCUCUCUCCUACCUUUAACCUCUUAGGUCAUGGCAGUUUACAGACAAGCUACAUCAGAGGAAGUGUAAAGAAGUGGUAAAGAUUUGACCUCAUGCACAAAAGCAUUUAAAAAGUCCUGGUGAAUCCUCAGCUGCCUGAGUCAACAUGAGCUUUGUUCCUGACCUCACUGAACUCAGGACUUCACUGUUGUGUAUGUUUGCAUCCUACCAGGGUUCUGGCUGCUGUAGUUGAUUGCCUUGGGAAAUGGGAGAAGGAAAAUCAAUGGAGAGGAGGUUGCUCUGGGAUCUGGAAAUGACCAUGUCCAGUGCUGUCCUAAAGCCCAGCUCAAGCUGCAGUCUGUGCAAGGACCUGCAUUUUACACAGCUACUCCAUCUGUGUUCUGGCAGGUGUUUUCUAGUACUUCACUACUUCUCAGUGGUUUAGAGAUCAAAAGAAGAAGA
ensembl:lncRNA